UUUACUUCGGGCCAUCUAAAAACCGAUGGGAAAUGUCUCCCAUUAUUUUUCCCUAAAACCCUAGCCUCCCUUCCAACACAAAAAUUAUUUUGUUUUUCUUCCUUCUUCUUGUGCCGCAACCUCUUCUUACAUCCCACGACCACCAUCCGUCGAUUCCAACAUCUCAUACGACAGCUCCGGCAAGCACCUUCUCUCUUCCACUCUCGAGAAAAUCAGAGUUUGGCACGUCCGCCAAGGUAUCUGCACCAAAACCCUAACUCCUUCCGUUCCAUGUCGCGGUUCUUCCCUCGCUGUCACCUCCAUAACCUCCUCCCCUUCCAUAUUGCAUAAGGAUUUGGGAUUCUGAAAAGGGGACUUGUGAGACUACUUUGAAUGGACAUAAAGGAGUUGUUACUGCUCUUCUUUAUAAUAAGGUUGGUUCAUUACUUGCUUCUGGUAGUAAAGAUAAUAAUGUUAUCUUGUGGGAUGCUGUUGAAGAGACCGGUCUCUUUCGCCUCCGCGGUCAUCGCGAUCAGAUAUUUGGCAGGCUCUUCUUCCCUCUUCCUUCCCUUGCUCGGACUGUUCUGUUUUCACGGCCAUUCUGGUUCUGUUUGGCUGGCGGGAUCAUGGUUUGGUCAUCUCGGACUCGGUGCCAGUCUUACAAACAAAGAAGAAGCAACCCUAUUCUAAGGGAACUAGGAUCCACAAGCUCUCAAGGAGUCAUUAAUCCAAAAUCUUUUGAGGAAGACCCUUUUUGAUUCAUAGACAAGAAGUGAAGAAACAUGGUCACAAGAGGCAACCGACAUUUCUCCGAAGGACGGCUUGAUUUCAAUCAACAUGGUUUGAUUCUAGUUAUAUCAAAUUCCUGAAGCCAUAGGAUGAUGAUUCCAAACAAGAGACGAAAAAAGAAACUACCAAAGACAAGAGCCAACAAGAAAUGGAAUAAAAGUUAAAAGGGUAUUAUGAACAAGUAUUAAAUACAAGUAUUUCGGUCCAUAUAUUCAGGAUCAGUGAAGGGAUUUCCAAAGGAUUUCGACAAAGCAAAGGCUUGGGUGAGAACAAGAUUGUGACUGAUGUUGUAUUUGUGGGUUUUGGGAAAAAAACUAGUUAGUUCAUCCAAAGACAAGUUUUUGAGAGUGUGGGACAUUGAUACAGAGCAUUGUAUGCAAAUAGUUGGGGGCAUCAUAGUGAAAAUGUUUCUACAGAAUUAACACAAGAAGAUUUGUAUGAUUUGCGACUCCGUUGGGCAAAAUGUUUCUUUGAGUUAUAUAAAGAAUAACUUUAUGUUUAGUGUUGUUAUUUUGUAGUAGA